rnacentral:lncRNA from 1 species
CAAAAAGCUGGCAUCCUGGCCUCAAGGUGAUACUCCAGCUGAGGCCACCUCCUUGUUCAGCUCGUCCCCUGCUCCAUUCUUCUUCCCUCCUUUUCUCCUGAGAUCACUUUCUUAAUCAGCCACCUGCAGAAGAACCCCCAUCUCAGGUUCCACUUUUAGGGAGCUCAACUUCAGACAGGAUUGGCACAGCCAGGGGCUCCAAGGAUGGCCGAUGAGGAACAGUGUCUGAAGUAGUGUUUCCCAAAGAGUCACCCCUCUGGCUAUGUGCAAAUCCAUGGUUCAGACUCCAGACUGUGGAAUCAAAGUUUCUGGAGUGAAUGAAACGAACCACAUUUUUAUUGGCUUCUGGCUUACUCAGUCCUCCAGAAAUCUAGAUGCUCUUUCAAAGUGUAAGAUAAGUUUUCCUUCUGCUUCAUCGUGGCAGAGACUACUCACAUGUUCAUGAAACCCAUUUAUUCUCCAAAUCUCCCAGUCUGCCUUGCCAUUAGGAGUGGCUGUGUGAUUGAAUUCCAGCUACUGGGAUGUGAUAAAUGCUUGGCCUCCAAAAUAUCUUUC